GGGAAAAACAGGCUAUGGACCCCUUGAUUUAGGGAAUUUCGAGGCUCGGGUACCCCGGGGGAUCCCUUUAGAGAAUGGUAGUCCAUAUGCUUGUCUCAAAAGAUUAAGCCAUGCAUGUCUAAGUAUAAGCAAUUAUACCGUGAAACUGCGAAUGGCUCAUUAAAUCAGUUAUCGUUUAUUUGAUAAUACCUUACUACUUGGAUAACCGUGGUAAUUCUAGAGCUAAUACAUGCUGAAAAUCCCGACUUCGGAAGGGAUGUGUUUAUUAGAUAAAAAACCAAUGCCCUUCGGGGCUUUUUGGUGAUUCAUGAUAACUUUACGGAUCGCAUAGCCUUGCGCUGGCGACGGUUCAUUCAAAUUUCUGCCCUAUCAACUUUCGAUGGUAAGGUAUUGGCUUACCAUGGUUUCAACGGGUAACGGGGAAUUAGGGUUCGAUUCCGGAGAGGGAGCCUGAGAAACGGCUACCACAUCCAAGGAAGGCAGCAGGCGCGCAAAUUACCCAAUCCCGACACGGGGAGGUAGUGACAAUAAAUACUGAUACAGGGCUCUUUUGGGUCUUGUAAUUGGAAUGAGUACAAUUUAAACCUCUUAACGAGGAACAAUUGGAGGGCAAGUCUGGUGCCAGCAGCCGCGGUAAUUCCAGCUCCAAUAGCGUAUAUUAAAGUUGUUGCAGUUAAAAAGCUCGUAGUUGAAACUUGGGUCUGGCUGGCGGGUCCGCCUCACCGCGUGCACUCGUCCGGCCGGGCCUUCCUUCUGAAGAACCUCAUGCCCUUCACUGGGCGUGUUGGGGAAUCAGGACUUUUACUUUGAAAAAAUUAGAGUGUUCAAAGCAGGCCUUUGCUCGAAUACGUUAGCAUGGAAUAAUAAAAUAGGGCGUGCGUUUCUAUUUUGUUGGUUUCUAGAGACGCCGCAAUGAUUAACAGGAACAGUCGGGGGCAUCAGUAUUCAGUUGUCAGAGGUGAAAUUCUUGGAUUUACUGAAGACUAACUACUGCGAAAGCAUUUGCCAAGGAUGUUUUCAUUAAUCAGUGAACGAAAGUUAGGGGAUCGAAGACGAUCAGAUACCGUCGUAGUCUUAACCGUAAACUAUGCCGACUAGGGAUGGGUGAACGUUGCAUUUUCGACUUCAUCCGCACCUUAUGAGAAAUCAAAGUCUUUGGGUUCCGGGGGGAGUAUGGUCGCAAGGCUGAAACUUAAAGGAAUUGACGGAAG
rnacentral:rRNA from 1 species